ensembl:lncRNA
CGUGACAGUGGUAGGGUCGUGACAGUGGUAGGGUCGUGACAGUGGUAGGGUCGUGACAGUGGUAGGGUCGUGACAGUGGUAGGGUAUUUGUGAUCCGGGGCUAUUGAUAAAAGAACCGGGGCUUUAGCCCCGGAUGCCCAGGCCUAACGACGCUGCUGGUCAUGACAAAGGUAGGGUCGUGACAGUGGGACCAACAAACCCUAAUGGGCAUUGUGAACAAAUUGGUUGAAUCACCAAGUAUCCAGUUAUCUACAGUGAUCAAGGUAUCACAUUAUACACAUUUUGUUGUUAGUGAAUUUUUAAAUGAUUAAAAAAAUAUUUCUUGCCUUGAAUCUGCACACAAUGUAGAUCCCAUAAUGACAAAACACAUUUUGGACAAUGUAUUCAAAAAUCUUUAUCCCAGAAGCAUUCGGUGUCUGAUGAUCCUUGAAAAAAAAAACUAUGGAAAAUAAAGUUGAUUUGAUGUGAUUUGCAAAGACACAUACAGUACCUGCCUGUGUAAGUUCCAACGCUUCACAAUACAUCCGUGAAGUCCAAAGAAGUCUCAGUACACGUCUGAGAUAGAAUCGUGUUGAGGCAUAGAUUUUGGGGACAUUAUAAAAAAUAGUUAAAGCAUUGGAAAUUCCCAGAAGCACAGUGGACUCCAUCUUUUAUUUAUUUUCAAUAAAUUGGUAGGCAUUGCAAAAAAAAAAUUUUGCGGUUUGUCGUUAUGGGUUAUUGUGUGUAGAUUGAUGGCAAAAAAUACUUACAUACAUUUUAAAGUAAGUCUGUGACACAGCAAAACAUGGAGAAAGUGAAGCGGUUGGAAUACUUUCCAAAUGCACUUUGUUGGUCAGUAUACAGCAACCAGGUUUUCAACACAUCACAAAGCCAUUAUCAGCUCCAUCUGAACUAGGUCAAUGCUUCACAGUGACCUGAAUGUUCCUCCUUAAUGACUGGCUGGAAGCGGGAAGAGGUAAUGUAAUCACAGAAGGGCAUUUUGUAAUUACCCAGUGUUCUGAGUGGUUUCACAACAAAUGUUCAGUUCACUGUCCAUUGAAAUUAGAGGGCCAUACGUGAGAUUACAGACGUGUUCAAUACAAAGUUUUAUGAGGAAGUGAAAGGGAUGAUAACCCAAGGUCUUAUCUUUCAAUUACAGGUUUCUUCUGUGGUGCUGCUGUUGCGUAACUUCUCAAGAUGUCCUUUGAAGUCUCGUUCCCCAUUUUAGAAAUCUUCAUGCCGAUCAUCACGUUUGGAAUUAUCAUCCUCUGCUGCACGGCCUUCUGCAAGGCCUUUCACCGCGUCCGCGAGGAGCGAAUGGAGCGGGAGGAGAGACUCGACAGGCCCUCGGUUUUCGUUAUCCCCUUCCCAGCGGUGUCCUGUGACAACGAAGACCUCCACAGGCCUCCGCGUUACAGCACCACAGAGUCCUACAGCCCGCCUCCUGCCUACAACGAGGUGGAGAUGAAGCCAGACUUCAUCGAAGCAGAUCUUCCUCCAGCCUACUCAGAGAUCUCACACGCCCCAGAUGUCUAAUUGCGUUCUCCAUCCACUGCGCCUUGGUUUGGUUCCUCCUCAGCCCCACUGUCACCCGGGGGACCAUACUAGCUGGGAAAACUGAAGGCCAAACACACUCGAAGAGAACCUAGGCUAUGCGUGGAUCCAUGACCCUGAAGCUGUACUAACUGUUCUGCAGAGACUUAGCACUGGGGUUUGUGAAAGGUGUGUUUGGGAGGCGCCCUGUGGGAAAAGGAUGAAUCGGCUUAUGUGGCAAGCGUGGGAUUAUGGACGUCUAUGAAUGUGUGUCCUGUGAAGCAAGAUUUGUCCCUCCACCUGCUCUGUGUACAUGUGUAAAUAUUCAAAAAUCUUGAAUAAAUUGUAUUUUUGUAAGCCUUACUCAAAACUGUUAAUAUGAUGAAGUAUUAUUGUUGUGGGCCUUGAUCUGUGAUAAUAUGGUAGUUUAUUUAAAUGUUUUUUGACAUCUGGAAUGAAGUCUGUUUUCCAUUUUGAAGAUCCAAUCUGUUCUCUUCUGUGUCAGUCAUGUCUGAUGCUUCCACACAUCUUCUAUGCUCUUUAACCCCAUCGGUUUCAUAACAGCUCUACCCAGUAAGAUGAUUUAUGAAAGCCUAUUAGUAAGAUAUUGAACAGACAACUGAUUAUCUUCGCCAUGUGACUGACCGACAUAGUGUCAUUGACACGCCUCUUAAACAUUUUCUUUCAGGCUUUAUUACCGCUGCCCAAUCAUAGAUUCAUACUUCAAUAAUAUUAGGACUUUGGCUAAUGGUAGGUCAUUAAGCAAUGAUAAAACCCUUUCACUGACUGUCACUGAAAACCUUGAUGAAAUCAUAUUAGUUCAUAGCUGCCUUUAAAAUGCAUGUUUUAAUCAUCAACGCCUGCCUAAAAAUGUGUGCAGACAUGAUAAAGCCAUGUAUGAACAGUGUUUAUGACUAGACUACAGGUUGAGCAGUUGAGAUACCUCCUUGCUACCAAUCCAACACAGCUUUGGUUCAUAAAAUGUAUGUAUGAACAAUACUACCAUUUACCAAAUGUUUAAAACCAGAGUCUGUUGUGUUCCAUGGACAGUGUUAUGCUGAUGAGCUAAAGCCUUGGCCUUAACAUGGGGAACCAAAACCUCAGUCUACUGGAGGGGUUUAGUGACUGUGAUUCACCAAAAUAACUGGAAUAUGUAAACAGUUUUAUGUAGCAUCAUAGCCGAUUGUGAAUGUUUUAGGUGGUUUUAAUAGCAUGGGAGAUCAAAGUCCUGUUCCAGUCACACUGUUUGUAUUGAGCCAUGAAGUGCAGCCACGUUAUUUUUUUGCUGUCUUUAUUUGAAUCAAAGGUUGCUCAGUCAAAUCCCUGAGCCAGCAAAGGAAAAAAUCUGUGGUUCUGUGUUUGAGAAAAACAUUUAACCCUUUUUUGCUCCACUAAGAGCAUCUGAUCAAUUACUAAAAUAUAAAAGCUGAAAAUUGGUUCCUGGGGGACUGUACUUGGAGAACAAGUUAAGGUAUUGU